GGUAUGUAGCUUAGUGGUAGAGUGCUUGCCUAGCAUGCAUGAAGCCCUGGGUUCGAUUCCUCAGUACCA
rnacentral:tRNA from 1 species